rnacentral:lncRNA from 1 species
CGCCAGUCCUAUGGAUGCCACAGCCAGGGCAGAGUGGGCAGCCAGUUUCUAGGGCGACUGUGCACGGGACUCCGCCCCCAGCAGCCAGGGGUGCCCUAGCCUGCAGUUGUUUUGCGCAGGGACUGCUGCUCCCUCCCCAUGUGGGCCAGUGGGUUCCGGAUUUGGGCCGCUCCUCGGCUUCCGGGGGCUUCUCCGCAUUCAUCCGCCCAGAGCCGGCCGAGUCCUUCUCAGGGACACACGGGUGGGCGUGGACAAACACACUGCACGGUGACCCCAGGAAAAGGCUCCACAUGAGUCAUGGGGCAGGGCUGAGUCACCGCAGCCGGGAGCUGGGAGUUUACAGGACCAGGCCCUGGGUCUGGGCCCCAGACCUGCCAGCCAGAUGGAGGCAACAAGAAAAUAACUAAGACACAUCUCAACUCUAUCUUACGUAGCAUCUGAUCAUGGCCAGGUCCCUCCAUGAGGAAUUCUGGAGCAGCCUGAGCUGAGGCUGCAGUCCUGGUGGCAGCGCACGGGCUGCAGGAAAAUCUGCACCGCAGCGCUGCUUCCGGUCGUCAAACCAGGCGGUCCUGUAGUUCCCGAGCACGGCGGCAAGAUGGCGGCUCCCGGGCCUCCCUGGU